rnacentral:rRNA from 1 species
CCUACGGGAGGCAGCAGUAGGGAAUCUUCCACAAUGGGCGAAAGCCUGAUGGAGCAACGCCGCGUGGGUGAAGAAGGUCUUCGGAUCGUAAAACCCUGUUGUUAGAGAAGAAAGUGCGUGAGAGAAACUGUUCACGUUUCGACGGUAUCUAACCAGAAAGCCACGGCUAACUACGUGCCAGCAGCCGCGGUAAUACGUAGGUGGCAAGCGUUAUCCGGAUUUAUUGGGCGUAAAGGGAACGCAGGCGGUCUUUUAAGUCUGAUGUGAAAGCCUUCGGCUUAACCGGAGUAGUGCAUUGGAAACUGGGAGACGUGAGUGCAGAAGAGGAGAGUGGAACUCCAGGUGUAGCGGUGAAAUGCGUAGAUAUAUGGAAGAACACCAGUGGCGAAAGCGGCUCUCUGGUCUGUAACUGACGCUGAGGUUCGAAGGCGUGGGUAGCAAACAGGAUUAGAUACCCUUGUAGUC